UUGAGAGUUUGAUUCUGGCUCAGAACGAACGCUGGCGGCAGGCUUAACACAUGCAAGUCGAACGAUAUAGUGGCAGACGGGUGAGUAACGCGUGGGAACGUACCUUUCACUACGGAAUAGCUCUUGGAAACGAGUGGUAAUACCGUAUACGCCCUUCGGGGGAAAGAUUUAUCGGUGAAAGAUCGGCCCGCGUUAGAUUAGCUAGUUGGUAGGGUAAUGGCCUACCAAGGCGACGAUCUAUAGCUGGUCUGAGAGGAUGAUCAGCCACACUGGGACUGAGACACG
rnacentral:rRNA from 1 species